rnacentral:rRNA from 1 species
CAGCUCGUGUCGUGAGAUGUUGGGUUAAGUCCCGCAACGAGCGCAACCCCUAUCUUCAGUAGCCAGCAUUACGGAUGGGCACUCUGGAGAGACUGCCAGGGACAACCUGGAGGAAGGUGGGGAUGACGUCAAAUCAUCAUGCCCCUUAUGGCCAGGGCUACACACGUGCUACAAUGGCGUGAACAAAGGGAAGCAGCCAUGUGAAUGUGAGCAAAUCCCAAAAAUAACGUCUCAGUUCGGAUUGUAGUCUGCAACUCGACUACAUGAAGCUGGAAUCGCUAGUAAUCGCGAAUCAGAAUGUCGCGGUGAAUACGUUCCCGGGUCUUGUACACACCGCCCGUCACACCAUGGGAGUCAGUAACGCCCGAAGCCGGUGACCUAACCGAAAGGGAGGAGCCGUCGAAGGUGGGACCGAUAACUGGGGUGAAGUCGUAACAAGGUAGCCGUAUCGGAAGGUGCGGUUGGAUCACCUC